rnacentral:rRNA from 1 species
CGACCGCUGGCGGCGUGCCUACUACAUGCAAGUUGAGCGCUGAAGGUUGGUACUUGUACCAACUGGAUGAGCAGCGAACGGGUGAGUAACGCGUGGGGAAUCUGCCUUUGAGCGGGGGACAACAUUUGGAAACGAAUGCUAAUACCGCAUAAAAACUUUAAACACAAGUUUUAAGUUUGAAAGAUGCAAUUGCAUCACUCAAAGAUGAUCCCGCGUUGUAUUAGCUAGUUGGUGAGGUAAGGGCUCACCAAGGCGAUGAUACAUAGCCGACCUGAGAGGGUGAUCGGCCACAUUGGGACUGAGACACGGCCCAAACUCCUACGGGAGGCAGCAGUAGGGAAUCUUCGGCAAUGGACGAAAGUCUGACCGAGCAACGCCGCGUGAGUGAAGAAGGUUUUCGGAUCGUAAAACUCUGUUGGUAGAGAAGAACGUUGGUGAGAGUGGAAAGCUCAUCAAGUGACGGUAACUACCCAGAAAGGGACGGCUAACUACGUG